rnacentral:rRNA from 1 species
GACGAACGCUGGCGGCGUGCUUAACACAUGCAAGUCGAGCGGUAAGGCCCUUUCGGGGUACACGAGCGGCGAACGGGUGAGUAACACGUGGGUGGACCUGCCCUCAGCUCUGGGAUAAGCCUGGGAAACCGGGUCUAAUACUGGAUAUGACUCCAUGACGCAUGUUGUGGGGUGGAAAGCCUUGUGCGGCUGAGGAUGGGCCCGCGGCCUAUCAGCUUGUUGGUGGGGUGAUGGCCUACCAAGGCGACGACGGGUAGCCGGCCUGAGAGGGCGACCGGCCACACUGGGACUGAGACACGGCCCAGACUCCUACGGGAGGCAGCAGUGGGGAAUCUUGCGCAAUGGGCGAAAGCCUGACGCAGCGACGCCGCGUGAGGGAUGACGGCCU